CCCAAAAUUUAACCCUCCCAGAUCUUGGUCUCAGGAAAUCCACCGGGGCGUCCCUGCCCCAUCCGGCCGCCUCCUCCAUGGCGACUGGCUCCCAUCCGGCCGCCUCCUCCAUGGCGAGAACCGUGUCCAGAGGAGGACCAUCACGACCAUGAGUUCCCCGUCGUCGUCUCUCUCCGUGCUUAACCGGUGUGCUGAAACCCCUCCCAAGCUUCGCCUGCUGCUACCCCGACACAGCAGCAUGGAUCUGACGUCUCCCGGCCGUCCCGAAGCGGCGGCCCAUGGGAUCCGAGCGAAGAAGAGGCCUCGCGAUAUGAUGGCCUUGGUUCUCCUCUUAUGCAGGCUAGAUCUUGUUGGCCUCAAGCAGCACCACCAACAGGAUCCAGGCGAGCGUGCGGCUGCUCCUCCACCGUCAUGUGACGCGUGUAGUGGCCGUUCACCAGGAGAGACCCAGCUCCACGAUCACCACCACUCACUUGAUGUGCAUGUCCACACGCCAUCGACAAGUCGACCCGCGAAAGAAGCUGGCCCUACCGAUCAGGAUGACAUCGAUGAGGAGGAAGCAAUGGUGUGACGUCAUGGAUCCCACCUGUAAGUGCGUGAGUGUGUGGCUACAGUUUUCUACAAUAUUGUGAAAACCACGAUGUGUUUGGCAGUCACGGUAUUUGCCACUAUAUUUGGUGAUCCGGUCAUCAAUAUGUUCAUGUUCUACAUCCCUAUCGGCCCCGGGCAAAGAAUCAACACUUUAUCAUAGGCGAGGACUGGUCGUGGCUAUAUGCAAGUGUGGUCGCCGACACCCAGGCAGGCUCAACGUAUCGCAUGCAUACACGGGCUCUUUUCUUCAUACUAUGCACCUUGAAUUCUGUGAGAUAUACACGUACAUUGCUCCCAAGUACAUUGCUCCCAAGUCAUAUAGAGAUGAGUAAGAGAAGAAAAAUGAAUGUGCCCCUGUUUACAUCAAGAGAAUGUACCCCAUAUAAGGACCUAACAAACACAACUAUGGAUGGUAGUGCUAAUAUCCCACAUAAUCAAACGGACGAUCCUAAAAGGAAAAGUGUUCAAUCAUGGUAUGCCAAUGUCGGAUGAGAAGAAAGCGGAAUACAACGCGAAGUGUCAUAUAUCCUGACAACAAACGAGAGUUGCAGCUCUAGACUGUCUUAACCAGGACCAAUUAUCACAAACAUGUGUUUCUCCGUUAGACUGUGCUAUGGUUCAUCUCUACAACAGUUUCCCUAUCUAACAUCAUGUGUAUCUAAGUGCAGCUUCUGGUCAGGCCCCACUUGUUUCUGGCGAUCCCAGGUUCCAGUCAAAUGCAAUAGGAUAUGUAAUGCUUAUUUGUCACAUUCAUUCAUUAUGUACUAACUCUUCUCUCCUGUGACGGUAAUGUGUCACAAAUUCAUCAAAAAAUGUGCCACUCCCUCUGAUGCUCCCUCAUGGUGCUAGAAGAACUCCCAGGUCAGAAAAAUUAUCACGGUUGCUUCAACAUUUAUCUCUUCGAGCUGUAAUAAGAGUUUUGCGACAAGGCUGCCUUGCAAUAUAAUGUACGACCGUAUUAUUUUCUAAAGAUUUUGUAUUGCCUGACCAUUAAUUUGGCUUCAAAUGCUCCUGAUGAGGCUUGAAAGUUCAUUAAGUGUGGUAAGACCACUCUCACAUUCAGGUUUAUUCACUUUUAUAUUUCUAUAAAGGGGCUUGCCAAUCCAUCUAACACACCAUAGAGAAAAAUAGUGUCUUCCAGAGAGCAUGACAACUGAAAUGCAUCUGACACACCUUUGGGCAGGGGAACUUUGUGAAACACGGCAUGGUCAUGAAAAUGUCUUAGAAAAUCAAUUUAUAAUGAGAAGUUAUGUUCUAAUUUGCUCCGGCUUUACAAUUUUUGAAGAUGUCAAGCCUUGAGGCUCUUUUGUUCAGUGUUGCACAUGUCAA